rnacentral:rRNA from 1 species
AUUGAACGCUGGCGGCAUGCUCUACACAUGCAAGUCGAACGGUAACAGGUUAAGCUGACGAGUGGCGAACGGGUGAGUAAUGCAUCGGAACGUGCCCGGUCGUGGGGGAUAACGCAGCGAAAGCUGCGCUAAUACCGCAUAUGAUCUGAGGAUGAAAGCGGGGGACCGUAAGGCCUCGCGCGAUCGGAGCGGCCGAUGUCAGAUUAGGUAGUUGGUGGGGUAAAGGCUCACCAAGCCAACGAUCUGUAGCUGGUCUGAGAGGACGACCAGCCACACUGGGACUGAGACACGGCCCAGACUCCUACGGGAGGCAGCAGUGGGGAAUUUUGGACAAUGGGCGAAAGCCUGAUCCAGCAAUGCCGCGUGCAGGAAGAAGGCCUUCGGGUUGUAAACUGCUUUUGUACGGAGCGAAAAGGUCUCCUCUAAUUCAGGGGGCUCAUGACGGUACCGUAAGAAUAAGCACCGGCUAACUACGUGCCAGCAGCCGCCGUAA